rnacentral:rRNA from 1 species
AGAGUUUGAUCCUGGCUCAGAGCAAACGCUGGCGGCGUGCCUAAUACAUGCAAGUCGAACGAGGAAAAACCUUCGGGUUGAGUAUGAGUGGCGUACGGGUGAGAAUAGCGUGGAUAAUCUGCCCUCUAAUGGGGAAUAACCAAUCGAAAGAUUGGCUAAUACCGCAUGAGACCACAGUGCCUACGGGCACAGAGGUUAAAGAUUUAUUGUUAGAGGAUGAGUCUGCGUCCGAUUAGCUAGUUGGUAGGGUAAUGGCCUACCAAGGCUGUGAUCGGUAGCUGGUCUGAGAGGACGAUCAGCCACACUGGAACUGAGACACGGUCCAGACUCCUACGGGAGGCAGCAGUAGGGAAUAUUGCACAAUGGGGGAAACCCUGAUGCAGCGACGCCGCGUGAGUGAUGAAGGCCUUCGGGUUGUAAAGCUCUGUCCUGAGGGAAAACUUAUGAUGGUACCUCAGAAGAAAGGACCGGCUAACUUCGUGCCAGCAGCCGCGGUAAUACGAAGGGUCCAAGCGUUGCUCGGAACUAUUGGGCGUAAAGCGGGCGUAGGCGGCCUUGUAAGUCAGAAGUGAAAGCCCCGGGCUUAACCCGGGAAGUGCCUUUGAUACUGCGAGGCUUGAGUAUGGGAGAGGGUAGUAGAAUUCCUGGUGUAGUGGUGAAAUACGUAGAUAUCAGGAGGAACACCGGUGGCGAAGGCGGCUACCUGGCCCAAUACUGACGCUCAGGCCCGAAAGCGUGGGGAGCAAACAGGAUUAGAUACCCUGGUAGUCCACGCUGUAAACGAUGGAUACUUGGUGUUGGAGGUAUUGACCCCUUCAGUGCCGUAGCUAACGCGGUAAGUAUCCCGCCUGAGGAGUACGGUCGCAAGAUUAAAACUCAAAGGAAUUGACGG